rnacentral:rRNA from 1 species
CCUACGGGCGGCAGCAGUGAGGAAUAUUGGUCAAUGGACGAGAGUCUGAACCAGCCAAGUAGCGUGAAGGAUGACUGCCCUAUGGGUUGUAAACUUCUUUUAUAUGGGAAUAAAAUGUUCCACGUGUGGGAUUUUGUAUGUACCAUAUGAAUAAGGAUCGGCUAACUCCGUGCCAGCAGCCGCGGUAAUACGGAGGAUCCGAGCGUUAUCCGGAUUUAUUGGGUUUAAAGGGAGCGUAGGUGGAUUGUUAAGUCAGUUGUGAAAGUUUGCGGCUCAACCGUAAAAUUGCAGUUGAAACUGGCAGUCUGGAGUCCAGUAGAGGUGGGCGGAAUUCGUGGUGUAGCGGUGAAAUGCUUAGAUAUCACGAAGAACUCCGAUUGCGAAGGCAGCUCACUGGACUGCAACUGACACUGAGGCUCGAAAGUGUGGGUAUCAAACAGGAUUAGAUACCCCAGUAGUC